GGUUUUUGAAGGCUUCUUUGGCGCUUUGCUUGAGCGGAAGUGGAGGACCAUAGAGUGGAUGUAAUUGAUGCAACAAGAGAAGAAAAAUA